rnacentral:piRNA from 1 species
UGACAAAAUGUAACCCUACUCCUAAGUCCA